rfam:Papio anubis isolate 1X1155 chromosome 7, whole genome shotgun sequence.
GCUGGGUAUGGUGGUGCAUGCCUGUAGUCCCAGCUACUUGGGAGGCUGAGGCAGGAGAAUUGCUUGAACCUAGGAGGCUGCGAUUACAGUGAGUCAAGAUCACGCCAUUGCACUCCAGCCUGGGUGACAGAGCAAGCCUCUGUCUCAA